AUUGAACGCUGGCGGCAGGCCUAACACAUGCAAGUCGAGCGGAUGAAGGGAGCUUUCUCCUGGAUUCAGCUGCGGACGGGUGAGUAAUUCCUAGGAAUCUGCCUUGUAGUGGGGGAUAACGUCCGGAAACGGGCGCUAAUACCGCAUACGUCCUGAUGGAGAAAGUGGGGGAUCUUCGGACCUCACGCUAUCAGAUGAGCCUAGGUCGGAUUAGCUAGUUGGUGGGGUAAAGGCCUACCAAGGCGACGAUCCGUAACUGGUCUGAGAGGAUGAUCAGUCACACUGGAACUGAGACGCGGUCCAGACUCCUACGGGAGGCAGCAGUAGGGAAUCUUGGACAAUGGGCGAAAGCCUGAUCCAGCCAUGCCGCGUGUGUGAAGAAGGUCUUCGGAUUGUAAAGCACUUUAAGUUGGGAGGAAGAGAAGUAAGUUAAUACCUUGCUGUUUUGACGUUACCAACAGAAUAAGCACCGGCUAACUUCGUG
rnacentral:rRNA from 1 species